rnacentral:rRNA from 1 species
AUAUAAUUAAGCGGAGGAAAAGAAACUAACCAGGAUUCCCUCAGUAAGGGCGACUGAAGCGGGAAGUGCUCAGGAUGUGAAUCUGCGCUAUGCGCCGAAUUGUGGUCUGUAGACUGUGACAUUAUUGGCCGGGCCAAGUCCCUUGGAAAAGGGCAGCAGAGAGGGUGAGACUCCCGUCCGCCUGGCCGAAUGAGUCGCUAGUCAACGAGUCGAGUUGUUUGGGAUUGCAGCUCUAAGUGGGUGGUAAAUUCCAUCUAAAGCUAAAUAUUGGUGGGAGACCGAUAGCGUACAAGUACCGUGAGNGGAAAGAUGCAAAGAACUUUGAAAAGAGAGUUAAAGAGUACCUGAAAUUGCUGAAAGGGAAGCGAAGGAAACCAGUGUUGAAUGUGUCAUACUUCCUGAUCCGCUUGCGGAUUGGGCGCUGUGUCAUGUUUUGGGUUGUCCUUGGUUGGUCGCGAUGGAAGAGCGCUAAAGGAGUUGACUUUGGUUGCUAGCAUUGCUUCUGACUGAGGAGGACGAAAUGGUUUUCUUUACCCCGUCUU